AUAAUCAGAUUAGCAUAGCUACAGAAUUCUCUACUUGACUAAAAUAAUUGGACAGUUAAAAUACCAAAGUUAUGAAUUAACUAAAUGGUUGACUCCGGAACAGCUGGCUGAACUGUAGGGCAAAAAUCUAAUUUUAUUAUAAAAUGUAGAGUCUUGCUUUAAGAUGCAAAGAAAGACAAAGAAUAAAGUUGAGCCUCAAGUGUUCCAUUGAUUCAGCUGGCAACUAAAUUCCUGGAGGAACUGACUGUACUAUUUAUGGUUUAUCAGUGAUUUAUAAAUUAUAUCCAAUAGCUCAGUAAAAUGAAUCAAUAAAGUAAAAUUGAGGGUAUUUUAAAACUGACUAGAGCCUGUUCGUAUUGACUGCCCAGAAUCUGUAAAUCCUCUGCUCUAAGCCCGUCUGGACUCCCUCGGCCCCAGUUUUUUUUUCCUUUGAAAACACUAAGAAUAAUGUCACUGCAUCAGUUUUUACUAGAGCCAAUCACCCAUCAUACCUGGAAGAGGGAUAAUACCCAGACUGCCCUCAGUCCUAAUAAUCAUGAAAUGCAUAUCUGAAAGAAGAACAGGUGAAAGCUCAUGAACUCAAGGAGCACAAUGGACACAUCACAGAUAUUGAUUGGGCUCCCAAGAGCAAUUGCAUCGUCACUUGUGGGGCAGAUCGCAAUGCCUAUGUCUGGAGACAGAAAGAUGGUGUCUGGAAGCCAACCCUGGUGAUCCUGAGAAUUGCGCAGCUACUUUUGUGAAGUGGUCCUCCCUAGAGAACAAAUCUGUUGUGGGAGGUGGAGCAUGACUCAUUUCUGUUUGUUACUUUGAGUCUGAAAAUGACUGGUUGGUGAACAAGCACAUUAAAAAGUCGAUUCGCUCCACAGUCCUCAGCUUGGAUUGGCAUCCCAAUGUAUUGCUGGCAGCAGGAUCAUGUGACUUCAAAUGCAGUGUUUUCUGCUUACAUUAAAGAAGUGGAUGAAAAGCCAGCCAGCACAUCCUGGGGCAGCAAGAUGCCUUUUGGGUAGCUAAUGUCAGAGUUUGGUGGCAGUGGCUCUGGUGGCUGGGUCCAUGGGGUCAGCUUCUCUGCCAGAGGGAGCCACCUGGCUUGGGUCAGCCAUGAUAGCACCAUGUCUGUUGCUGAUGCCUCAAAAAUAUGCAGGUCUCAACUCUGAGGAUGGAGUUCCUGCCUCUUCUUAGUGUGUCAUUUGCCUCAGAGGCUGCUGGCCGUGACUGCUGCCCAGUGCUCUUUAGCUAUGAUGGCUGUGCUACCUGACCUUUGUCUCCAAGUUAGACAUUCCAAAACAGACCAUCCAAUGCAACAUAUCUGCCACGGAAUGCUUCCACAACAUGGACAAGAGGGCGACAACUGAGGACCACAACACGAUCUUGGAGAUGCUGCACCAGAAUAGCAUCACUCAAGUCUCUAUUUAUGAAGUGGACAAGCAAAGUACAUCGCAAAUUUUGCACUGCUGGCAUUGAUAGAGCCAUGACAAUUUGCGGUUUCAAGGGCCUCCGGAUAACAUGAAGCUGAGUGAGCUUCCACCAUCCAGCAUGACAAACUGUGGCUGACCACAGCUGUGCCGUGGAAUGUGCCAUGGAAGCCAGCCCCAAGAAAACACUGAAAACAUGUAUCACACCAAUACGAUGUGGUUUUGUUUGAAUAUAAAAUUGGUGAAAGUGUUGGUUUUUUAAAAGCAGUUUUUUGUUUGUGGUUUCAUUCCAUUAUCGACCAAAGCUUUUCUUUAAGUAGUUUAUUAUGGAAAAUUGUCACACUAACUUAAAAGAUAGGGUAAGGGAGAUUAUGUAAAUUUUCCACUAGAAAAUUAAAUAAAAGAACCGAAUGUGGAAUUAAAAAAA